UACGGAGGGUGCAAGCGUUAUCCGGAUUCACUGGGUUUAAAGGGUGCGUAGGUGGGUCUGUAAGUCCGUGGUGAAAUCUCCAAGCUUAACUUGGAAACUGCCAUGGAUACUAUAGGUCUUGAAUACCGUGGAGGUGAGCGGAAUAUGUCAUGUAGCGGUGAAAUGCUUAGAUAUGACAUAGAACACCAAUUGCGAAGGCAGCUCACUACACGAAUAUUGACACUGAGGCACGAAAGCGCGGGGAUCAAACAGG
rnacentral:rRNA from 1 species